GCCGUCGUGGCGUAAUGGUAGCGCGUCGCUUUCCUAAGAAAAAGCAGGCGAAGGUUGUGGGUUCGAUCCCCACCGUCGGUA